rnacentral:tRNA from 1 species
GUAUUAGUGGUUCAGUGGUAGAAUUCUCAUCUUCCACACAGGAGACCCGGGUUCAUUUCCCGGCCAGUGCA